rnacentral:rRNA from 1 species
GUACACUCCUACGGGAGGCAGCAGUGGGGAAUUUUGGACAAUGGGCGAAAGCCUGAUCCAGCAAUGCCGCGUGAGUGAAGAAGGCCUUCGGGUUGUAAAGCUCUUUUGUCAGGGAAGAAACGGUGAGAGCUAAUAUCUCUUGCUAAUGACGGUACCUGAAGAAUAAGCACCGGCUAACUACGUGCCAGCAGCCGCGGUAAUACGUAGGGUGCAAGCGUUAAUCGGAAUUACUGGGCGUAAAGCGUGCGCAGGCGGUUUUGUAAGUCUGAUGUGAAAUCCCCGGGCUCAACCUGGGAAUUGCAUUGGAGACUGCAAGGCUAGAAUCUGGCAGAGGGGGGUAGAAUUCCACGUGUAGCAGUGAAAUGCGUAGAUAUGUGGAGGAACACCGAUGGCGAAGGCAGCCCCCUGGGUCAAGAUUGACGCUCAUGCACGAAAGCGUGGGGAGCAAACAGGAUUAGAAACCCCAGUAGUCCCAUGAU